AGCGAACGCUGGCGGCAGGCUUAACACAUGCAAGUCGAACGGGCGUAGCAAUACGUCAGUGGCAGACGGGUGAGUAACGCGUGGGAACGUACCUUUUGGUUCGGAACAACCCAGGGAAACUUGGGCUAAUACCGGAUAAGCCCUUACGGGGAAAGAUUUAUCGCCGAAAGAUCGGCCCGCGUCUGAUUAGCUAGUUGGUGAGGUAACGGCUCACCAAGGCAACGAUCAGUAGCUGGUCUGAGAGGAUGAUCAGCCACAUUGGGACUGAGACACGGCCCAAACUCCUACGGGAGGCAGCAGUGGGGAAUAUUGGACAAUGGGCGCAAGCCUGAUCCAGCCAUGCCGCGUGAGUGAUGAAGGCCCUAGGGUUGUAAAGCUCUUUUGUGCGGGAAGAUAAUGACGGUACCGCAAGAAUAAGCCCCGGCUAACUUCGUGCCAGCCGCCGCGGUAA
rnacentral:rRNA from 1 species